rnacentral:rRNA from 1 species
AGAGUUUGAUCCUGGCUCAGAACGAACGCUGGCGGCGUGGAUAAGACAUGCAAGUCGAACGAGAGAAUUGCUAGCUUGCUAAUAAUUCUCUAGUGGCGCACGGGUGAGUAACACGUGAGUAACCAGCCCCCGAGAGCGGGAUAGCCCUGGGAAACUGGGAUUAAUACCGCAUAGAAUCGCAAGAUUAAAGCAGCAAUGCGCUUGGGGAUGGGCUCGCGGCCUAUUAGUUAGUUGGUGAUGUAACGGCUCACCAAGGCGAUGACGGGUAGCCGGUCUGAGAGGAUAUCCGGCCACACUGGAACUGAGACACGGUCCAGACACCUACGGGUGGCAGCAGUCGAGAAUCAUUCACAAUGGGGGAAACCCUGAUGGUGCGACGCCGCGUGGGGGAAUGAAGGUCUUCGGAUUGUAAACCCCUGUCAUGUGGGAGCAAAUUAAAAAGAUAGUACCACAAGAGGAAGAGACGGCUAACUCUGUGCCAGCAGCCGCGGUAAUACAGAGGUCUCAAGCGUUGUUCGGAAUCACUGGGCGUAAAGCGUGCGUAGGCUGUUUCGUAAGUCGUGUGUGAAAGGCGCGGGCUCAACCCGCGGACGGCACAUGAUACUGCGAGACUAGAGUAAUGGAGGGGGAACCGGAAUUCUCGGUGUAGCAGUGAAAUGCGUAGAUAUCGAGAGGAACACUCGUGGCGAAGGCGGGUUCCUGGACAUUAACUGACGCUGAGGCACGAAGGCCAGGGGAGCGAAAGGGAUUAGAUACCCCUGUAGUCCUGGCAGUAAACGGUGCACGCUUGGUGUGCGGGGAAUCGACCCCCUGCGUUGCGGAGCCUACGCGUUAAGC